GACGAACGCUGGCGGCGUGCUUAACACAUGCAAGUCGAACGGAAAGGCCCUGCUCUUGCUGGGUGCUCGUGUGGCGAACGGGUGAGUAACACGUGAGUAACCUGCCCUUGACUUUGGGAUAUCUUCAGGAAACAGGGGCUAUUAUCGGAUAGGAGCUCUUGCUGCACGGUGGGGGUUGGAAAGUUUCGGCGUUUGGGGAUAUACUCGCGGGUUAUCAGCUGGUUGGUGGGGUAGUGGCUUACAAAGCGUUCGACGGGUAGCCGGCAUGGGAGGGGGACCGGGCACAUUGGGACUGAGAUACGGCCCAGACGGCUACGGGAGGCAGCAGUGGGGAAUAUUGCACAAUGGGCGGAAGUCUGAUGUAGCAACGCCGCGUGCGGGAUGACGGCCUUCGGGUUGUAAACCGCUUUCUCCUGUGACGAAGCGUGAGUGACGGUAAUGGGUAAAGAAGCACCGGCUAACUACGUG
rnacentral:rRNA from 1 species